rnacentral:rRNA from 1 species
GAUUAACGCUGGCGGCGUGCCUAACACAUGCAAGUCGAACGAUGAAACUUUAAUGAACCCUUCGGGGAGAAUUAAAGCGGAUUAGUGGCGAACGGGUGAGUAACGCGUGAGUAACCUGCCUUACACAAGGGGAUAGCCUUUGGAAACGAAGAAUAAUACCCUAUAAAACCAUAAAAGCACAUGCAAUUAUGGUCAAAGUGAUAGCGGUGUAAGAUGGACUUGCGUCUGAUUAGCUAGUUGGUGAGAUAAAGGCCCACCAAGGCAACGAUCAGUAGCCGGCUUGAGAGAGUGUACGGCCACAUUGGGACUGAGACACGGCCCAGACUCCUACGGGAGGCAGCAGUGGGGAAUUUUGCACAAUGGGGGAAACCCUGAUGCAGCGACGCCGCGUGAUUUAGAAGGCCUUCGGGUUGUAAAAAUCUUUUGUAUAGGAAGAAAAUGACAGUACUAUACGAAUAAGGUCCGGCUAAUUACGUG